rnacentral:misc_RNA from 1 species
UUGUAGCUUUGUUUCUUGAACUUGAGGUAAUAGUAGUAGUAUUAGUGUUAUGGUGAAUGUAUAACUGAAAAGAGGCAGAGAAAUGAGAUUAGGCAUGAUGGCUCUAUGCGGAGAAAAGUGGUUGAUAGAGUGAUCAAAGGCCCAAUUUCGAAGUGACUUCCAUUUCAAGAAAGGAUUUUUCUUAUUUGGAUUCGGUCCACCAUAAACCAAGA